GAAAAAUAAGAAAAAGUUUUUAAUUUACGUGUAAUAUUAUUUUAAUAAAGAAUGUGUGAUUGAAGAGAAGAGAGAAAAAAAUGCAUUUUGAUAAAAAUAGGUGCCAAACAGGGCCUUAAAAGUACCUCGUGAAUCAACCCCAUAAUAAAACAUUCUACAUUCAACCCAAAACUUUUUCCUACUCUUCAAAAAUACACUUACCAAAAAAUCAUAAUUUAUCCAAAUAAUGGCAGUCAAACAUUAGCUUAAUUCAGAAUAGAUUUCUAAGCUGGACAAUAAACAGAUCCUAUCCCAUGUGGCAUUAUAAUUGGAAGUCAUAAAUAUUUUUAUUCAACAUAAAACUUCUCAAUCGAACGUUCAAAACUGAUAAGCUCAAAAAUAUGAACGAUGGAUCAAGUUCCAAUCCUCCUCAAAAGUGAGGGAUAUGCUUGUGGAAAGUUCUAGGUAACAGAAAAUGCUAAUUUUGCUCUUGUUUUCUCAGACUCAUUUUCAGCAAUAAUAACACAUCAAAACUUUUAUCAAAAUCUAUUAAAAUUUUAUUUUUUAACAAAAUAAAAAACGGCUUAAUUGAAAACAAUUUUUCCCAGAGGCAUAAAGAAGAAAUGUGCUAACACGUAAUAAGAACUCAAAUCGCAUUGAACGGCUCGUUAAUGAAAUUAGAAUGAAUCUUACUCACUAGAUGCAUCCCAUUACUCAGCUUGAAUCACAGGUUUCCACUUUUUGAAGCACAAUUAAAUAGAAAAACAAAUAACAAAAAAAUUAAUCAAGAAAUAGAUAUGAACCACGACGCUCAAAACCUUCUCAUUGAAGUUGAGAAACGCCCUCACAGACAUCGCGGCUCCAAUUAUGUAUAGCUUAUGAUCAUGUUAAGUGCUGCUGUAUAAAAAUCUUAACAGCACUAGACCGUCUAUAAGCACAAUUAUUUCGAUUUCCCGAUCGUUUUCCAAUAAAACAAAGUAUCUUAAUUGCGAAUUGAAUUAUAUGAAAAGACUAAAUGUUUUUCUCAUGGCCAUUCCCAAAUCGUAAUUGCAGAGAUUCUGCUACACAGGGCGAUAGGAUAUGAGAACGCCCCCUUCGGAAAAAAUGGGAUUCAACCUCUCAACACGAGAUUAAGAGGAUGCCUCAACCACCGAUUCAACGAAGGGGGCUUUUUAUGCGACGAUUAUCGAUUCACUUGGGUCAUACGAGCACCUGUGUUAUUCAGCUCGCCCCAAUUUUAAGUGAAAUCGUCGAUAGAAAAUUCAACUCACAGAUUUAAAAAAGAGGAGAACAAAUUGAAUAGAAAAUUUAACUCACAAAUUAAGCAAGAGAGAUGAAGAAACUGGGAGAUUGGGUUAGAAUUGAUUAUUGUUACGGCCGUGGCCAAGGAAAAACCCUAAUUGUUGC
rnacentral:lncRNA from 1 species